rnacentral:snRNA from 1 species
AAACCCGUCUGAUAGCGCU